rnacentral:rRNA from 1 species
AUUGAACGCUGGCGGAAUGCUUUACACAUGCAAGUCGAACGGCAGCACGGACUUCGGUCUGGUGGCGAGUGGCGAACGGGUGAGUAAUGUAUCGGAACGUGCCCAGUCGUGGGGGAUAACGUAGUGAAAAUUACGCUAAUACCGCAUACGAUCUAUGGAUGAAAGCGGGGGAUCGGAAGACCUCGCGCGAUUGGAGCGGCCGAUAUCAGAGUAGGUAGUUGGUGUGGUAAAGGCCCACCAAGCCAACGAUCUGUAGCUGGUCUGAGAGGACGGCCAGCCACACUGGAACUGAGACACGGUCCAGACUCCUACGGGAGGCAGCAGUGGGGUAUUUUGGACAAUGGGCGAAAGCCUGAUCCAGCCAUUCCGCGUGCAGGAUGAAGGCCCUCGGGUUGUAAACUGCUUUUGUACAGAACGAAAAGGUUUCUACUAAUACUAGGAGCUCAUGACGGUACUGUAAGAAUAAUCACCGGCUAACUACGUGCCAGCCGCCGCGGUAA